rnacentral:rRNA from 1 species
GAUGAACGCUGGCGGCGCGCCUAAUACAUGCAAGUCGAGCGAACUGAUUAGAAGCUUGCUUCUAUGACGUUAGCGGCGGACGGGUGAGUAACACGUGGGCAACCUGCCUGUAAGACUGGGAUAACUUCGGGAAACCGAAGCUAAUACCGGAUAGGAUCUUCUCCUUCAUGGGAGAUGAUUGAAAGAUGGUUUCGGCUAUCACUUACAGAUGGGCCCGCGGUGCAUUAGCUAGUUGGUGAGGUAACGGCUCACCAAGGCAACGAUGCAUAGCCGACCUGAGAGGGUGAUCGGCCACACUGGGACUGAGACACGGCCCAGACUCCUACGGGAGGCAGCAGUAGGGAAUCUUCCGCAAUGGACGAAAGUCUGACGGAGCAACGCCGCGUGAGUGAUGAAGGCUUUCGGGUCGUAAAACUCUGUUGUUAGCGAAGAACAAGUACGAGAGUAACUGCUCGUACCUUGACGGUACCUAACCAGAAAGCCACGGCUAACUACGUGCCAGCCGCCGCGGUAAAAC